UUGAUGCCCUGUCUCUUUCCCCAGAUCGGGCCCAACACAGGCAGCGUCAGUGCAAACUUCCCCCACCCCGCCUUCCACCCAUGUGUGUCAACCCUGCCCCUGGAGGGACCAUCUCUCGAGGUAAGGGAGGAGCCAUGCCUCCAGCAACAGCUUGG
ensembl:misc_RNA